rnacentral:rRNA from 1 species
UACGUAGGGGGCGAGCGUUAUCCGGAAUUACUGGGCGUAAAGAGUACGUAGGUGGCGCAGUAAGCGAGUGGUGAAAGCCCGGGGCUUAACUCCGGCGAGCCAUUCGAACUGCUGUGCUUGAGUGCUGGAGGGGAAAGUGGAAUUCCUAGUGUAGCGGUGAAAUGCGUAGAUAUUAGGAGGAACACCGGUGGCGAAGGCGACUUUCUGGACAGUAACUGACACUGAGGUACGAAAGCGUGGGGAGCAAACA